CUUUAACCUUGUAUAUAACAUUUAGAGUUAAUAGAAAGAUGUGCAUGCAAAAAAGAACUUCGACACGUUGUAUUAAAACCUUGCCUUCACAGAAUAGGUAUAGUCUGUGCUAAUUUUAUUAGUAAUAAAAAUGAAUAUCAUCCGAAGUGUCCAAUAUGCCGCGUAAAAGUUGAAGAAUUCUGUCACGAUGAGCCACUCAUAAAUAAUGCAUUAAAUCCAUCAUAUUUAAGGCGUAUAAAAAAUGUAACAUCACAUUAUUUGAGUAAAUACAAUUUAUUUGGUGUGCCUAGAUUUGAUGACUAGUAUAAUAAUGAAGGUGUUUUAAAAAGAAGAAAAUUAUAAAGGUUUUUUUUAACAUUGUAUAUUGUAAUAUCAUUAAAUUUU